rnacentral:rRNA from 1 species
UACGUAGGGUGCAAGCGUUAAUCGGAAUUACUGGGCGUAAAGCGUGCGCAGGCGGUUUUGUAAGUCUGAUGUGAAAUCCCCGGGCUCAACCUGGGAAUUGCAUUGGAGACUGCAAGGCUAGAAUCUGGCAGAGGGGGGUAGAAUUCCACGUGUAGCAGUGAAAUGCGUAGAGAUGUGGAGGAACACCAAUGGCGAAGGCAGCCCUCUGGGUCAAGAUUGACGCUCAGGCACGAAAGCGUGGGGAGCAAACAGG